UACGUAGGGGGCAAGCGUUGUCCGGAUUUAUUGGGCGUAAAGAGCGUGUAGGCGGCUUUACAGGUCCGUUGUGAAAACUCGAGGCUCAACCUCGAGACGCCGGUGGAAACCGUAAAGCUAGAGUCCGGUAGAGGAGAGUGGAAUUCCUGGUGUAGCGGUGAAAUGCGCAGAUAUCAGGAAGAACACCGGUGGCGAAGGCGGCUCUCUGGGACGGUACUGACGCUGAGACGCGAAAGCGUGGGGAGCGAACAGG
rnacentral:rRNA from 1 species